UUUUUUUUUUUUUUUUAUAACAACCCAUUUUGGUUUUGGAACAACAUCAUGCAGAAGACGGAGAUAGAGGCACAGAAAGAAAGAAAGAAAGUAGAUAGUGAGAAAGUGCUUUUGCAACGGCCUCUGCUUUUUCUUUUUUCAGGAAAACAAAUGGGUAUGGCUUUUAAAUCAACAAACUCUCUUGCUUUCUUGUUGAAUCUUUUGGUUCCUUAUUGUCAUGUAAGCCUUCCGUUUCAUGCCCUCACUUUUUGUACUCUUACUAAUAAUAAUGCUACUAAUACUAGUAGCAGUAGUAGAGAAAAUGUGGAAAUCCAUAGUCAGAAUCAGAAUCAGUUCUUGAGAUUUGUGAGAGAUCAGUGCAAAACUGGAACCAUAAGGAAUCUUGAUCAUGCCUUAGGAUUGUUUGAUAGAAUGCUUCACAUGUGCCCUUUGCCUUUGGUUAUGGAUUUUACAUAAUUGUUGGGUGCAAUUGUAAGAAUGAAGCAUUACUCUGUAGUCAUUACUCUAAUUAGACAAAUGCGGUCAUUAGGAAUUGCUCCUGGUGUGUAUUCUCUCACUAUUAUGAUUAAUUGCUUUUGCCACUUGAAUCGGGUAGAUUUCGGGUUCUCUGUCUUAGCAAGAAUUUUGAAACUUGGUUACCAACCAAACCAUAUAACUCUGACCACUCUUGUAAAAGGGCUCUGUCUUCAAGGUAACAUUUCUGGAGCUGUUAGGUUGGUAGAAGUAAUGGAAAAGAAUGGGUAUGAACCUGAUGCAAUUACUUGUGCAACGAUAAUUAAUGGUUUAUGUAAGAUUGGUGAGACUAAUAUGGCUAUUAGGUUGCUCAGGAAGAUGGAAGAAGGGAAUUUCGAACUUGAUGUGGUGCUCUAUAGCACUAUCAUUGACAGUUUAUGUAAGGAAAGGCCUAUGCAAUUUCGGCUGUGGAGGGAGGUUGCUACUUUGUUGAAUGAGAUGACACAAAGGAAGAUCAUGCCAAAUGUGCAAACCUUUAGCAUAUUGGUGGACACACUUUGCAAGGGAGGGAAAUUGAUGGAGGCAAAAGAAGUUUUUGAUGUGAUGAUUCAAAGAGGCAUUCAGCCUAACAUAGUCACUUACAAUUCUUUGAUUGAUGGGUAUUGUUUGCAAAACCGAAUUGAUGAGGUAGUUAAGGCAUUUAGUAUGAUGGUUGAGAAGGGUUGUUCACCUUGUAUUUUUAGCUAUAGCAUAUUGAUCAAUGCAUAUUGCAAAAAUAAAAGAAUUGAUGAGGUAAUGUGUGUUUUUCAUGAAAUUUUCAACAAGGGAAUUAUUCCUAAUGUUGUGAGUUACAACACUCUUAUAAGUGGGUUUUGUCGAGUUGGGAGUCCUCAUAUUGCACUAGGGCUAUUUCAUAAGAUGCAAGCUUGUGGCCAACUUCCGAAUUCCCAGACAUAUGCUAUCUUGUUAGAUGGACUUUGUAAGAACAAACAAAUUGCUAAGGCGAUGGAAUUGUUUCAGCAGGUGGAGGACAAAACUUUGGGCCACUAUAUUGUGAUUUAUAAUGUCUUGAUUGGCGGUUUGUGUAACGCUAGGAAGCUUACAACUGCAGAGAACUCUUUUAUAGUCUCACCUCCAAAGGAUUGCAACCUAAUGUUUUGACUUACACUAUAAUGAUCAAAGGGCUUUGUGAAGAAGAUUGAUAGAUGAAGCGGGCGAUUUGCUUGAGAAAAUGGAUGGGAACGGUUGUUCACCUAACGAUCGUACAUAUAACACAAUUAUCCAAGGGUUAUUGAAACAUAAUGAAAUAAUUAAGGCCAGGAAAUAUCUCAAAAUAAUGGUUGACAAGGGUUAUUCAGCAAAUGCGGCCGUUGCAACCAUGUUAGUUGACUUGCUAUCUUCUAGUCAAGCUGAUAAAAACAUUCAAGAAUUGCUUUAGGAGUUUGUGUGAAGGAUUUUUAGCUUCUCAACAUCAAGGGAACCUUUCAUAUUUUAACCCAUCACAAGUCAAUUUGGGCUCUAACUUAAUAUUUCGGGUUAUGGAAUUUUCGGGAAGACUUACAGGAAGACUGGCCUUUAGGUGUGUUAUAUGGUCCUCUUGGGUGUGAUACUCAAGAAUACUAAUGUAUGCUAGGUUCAUAUAUCUUUUUCUUUCUCACUACAGUGACCUUUAUUAUGUUCUAAUCCUUAAUCAAAUCUAAUCUAUCACAGACAGCUAGUUUUCCAAAUCACAUGUGACCAUCCAUAGGCUACAUUUUGUUAAAAAUUGGAUACAAGGCUCAAUCCACAUGUGGCCAUCCAGCUUGGACCAGAUAUGCCAAAGACAAUAUUUGUUUGCCAAAUGGGUGUUUGCCACAUGUCACAAGAAAAGGGUCCUGAGCAGCUAUAAAAGUAGGGAAAAAUACUUUAGUUUGAUGUUUUUAUGAAAUGAUAGAAAGUUUGUUUGCAAUUGGUGAUACGAUG